ACCAUCAAAGUUCAAAGCCGACUAAACUAUCAAGAUUGGACCACAGAGAACUCCCUAAAACACCGACAAACAAGAUAAUAGAGCGGGAGCCAUUAACAGCUUGAUCGUAAUAUUCGGUCAUCACUUCCUCAGAUGGCUUGCAGUGCCUUAACUCAACCUCUCUUCAACCUCAAGCUCUUACAUUCUAACCCAACUCCUCGAAAGAAGCCAUUACAAGCUUUCAUCUCUUACACACAACGGAGGACACGCCCGUGUUCAUCUUAUAACAGUCAUUUUAAGGCCAAUUUUCCCACUUUCCCAAAGCUCCCUUUGCUCUCUGGCCGUCUAAGCAGAUUCAAUGUGGGAGUACAGAAAGUGGAUGCUUCUGGGGAAGAGGGUGACUCGCUUGUGUCCGACGCAACGCAUCAGGAGAAAUAUACUUUGUCUUCUGUGAUUUUGCCGUUUUUGUUCCCAGCCUUGGGAGGUUUGUUGUUUGGGUAUGACAUUGGUGCCACCUCUGGUGCUACCAUCGCAUUACAGUCACCUGAGCUCAGUGGAACAACUUGGUUCAACCUUUCAGCCAUUCAGCUUGGACUUGUGGUUAGUGGUUCCCUUUAUGGAGCUCUUCUUGGUUCCCUUCUUGUCUAUCCAAUUGCAGACUUCCUUGGGAGGAGGCGAGAACUUAUCACGGCAGCUGUGCUCUAUACACUUGGUGGUCUGACCACUGCCUAUGCUCCAGCCCUUGGUGUUCUUUUAGUGGGACGGCUGCUCUAUGGCCUUGGUAUUGGUUUGGCUAUGCAUGGGGCUCCUCUCUAUAUUGCAGAAACUUGCCCAUCUCAGAUUCGUGGAACUCUAGUAUCUUUAAAGGAGCUCUUUAUAGUUCUUGGGAUUCUGUUGGGCUAUUUUAUUGGAAGCUUUCAGAUUGGUGUAGUCGGAGGGUGGCGUUACAUGUUUGGAGCUAGUGCACCAAUUGCUCUUAUUAUGGGACUUGGCAUGUGGAGUCUUCCACCAUCUCCACGCUGGCUGCUUCUUAGGGCAGUCCAAGGAAAAGGUUUAUUACAAGAUUACAAAGAGAAGGCAGUUCUUGCUCUGAGCAAACUAAGGGGCCGUCCUCCUGGUGACAAGCUUUCUGAAAGGCAAAUAGAAGACACAUAUGUCUCAUUGAAAUCUGCAUAUGCGGAUCAGGAGCCUGAGGGCAGUUUCUUGGAGGUCUUUCAAGGCCCAAGUUUGAAAGCCUUCCUAAUUGGUGGGGGGCUGGUCCUUUUUCAACAGAUAACUGGGCAACCAAGCGUUCUAUAUUAUGCAGGUCCAAUACUUCAGACUGCUGGGUUUUCUGCGGCCUCCGAUGCUACCCGAGUUUCUGUUGUAAUUGGCGUGUUCAAAUUUCUGAUGACAUCGAUAGCUAUCCUAAAAGUAGAUGAUCUUGGGAGAAGACCGCUGCUAAUUGGAGGAGUCAGCGGGCUUGCUCUUUCUUUAUUUCUGCUUUCUGCUUACUAUAAAUUUCUCGGAGGGUUCCCUAUUGUUGCCGUAGCCAGUCUACUUCUCUAUGUCGGUUGCUACCAGAUUUCAUUUGGCCCAAUCAGUUGGCUUAUGGUGUCAGAGAUAUUCCCACUUCGGACAAGAGGGCGAGGGAUUAGUCUUGCAGUUCUUACUAACUUUGGCUCAAAUGCCAUUGUAACCUUUGCAUUCGCACCAUUGAAGGAUUUUUUAGGAGCUGAAAAUCUCUUCCUUCUUUUCGGGGCUAUUUCUUUGUUGUCACUUUUGUUUGUACUGCUCGUUGUCCCGGAGACCAAGGGGCUGAGCUUGGAAGAGAUUGAGUCCAAGAUUUUGAAGUGAAAGCGCAAAUUGAAAAAAUGUACCAGUCGAGCUUCCAAUACACCCAAGUCGUUUUGGUACUCCUAUGUUGUCUCUGUUUAGUAGGCCCACAGCAGGAACUAACGAAGGAAAGGGAAGAAGUUUUCGUGUGUUUUUGACUUGCAGUCAUGAAGAAAUCAGCCUGCUUGUGCAGACAGCGGUCUUCUCCUUCCACUGAAAUUUCCCUUGUAUGCUUAGUGAAUGAAAAGUCAAGCUGCUCGUGCUUUCAUUGUGUCCGAAGUCUCAAGUAGGCCCACAGCAGGAAAUAACGAAGGAAAGGGAAGAAUUUUUCGUGUGUUUUUGACUUGCACUCAUGAAGAAAUCAGCCAGCUGCUUGUGCAGACAGCGGUCUUCUCCUUCCUACUGAAAUUUCCCUUGUAUGCUUAAUGAAUGAAAAGUCAAGCUGCUCGUGCUUUCAUUGUGUCCGAAAUCUCAAGGUGACAUUGAAAUAAUAUUCGGAAGACUAUUGUCAUUUUUCGCUUCUUUUUCGCCAUUUCAUUCAUCACCAAAUUGAAAUAUGCAUGUAUGGGUGU